rnacentral:rRNA from 1 species
CCUACGGGUGGCAGCAGUGAGGAAUAUUGGUCAAUGGGCGCGAGCCUGAACCAGCCAAGUAGCGUGAAGGAUUACUGCCCUACGGGUUGUAAACUUCUUUUAUAAAGGAAUAAAGUGAGACACGUGUGCCUUUUUGUAUGUACUUUAUGAAUAAGGAUCGGCUAACUCCGUGCCAGCAGCCGCGGUAAUACGGAGGAUCCGAGCGUUAUCCGGAUUUAUUGGGUUUAAAGUGAGCGUAGAUGGUUUGUUAAGUCAGUUGUGAAAGUUUGCGGCUCAACCGUAAAAUUGCAAUUGAUACUGGCAGCCUUGAGUACAGUAGAGGGAGGCGGAAUUCGUGGUGUAGCGGGGAAAUGCGUAGAUAUCACGAAGAACUCCGAUUGCGAAGGCAGCUUACUAAACUGCCACUGACAUUGAUGCUCGAAAGUGUGGGUAUCAAACAGGAUUAGAUACCCCGGUAGUC